AAAAAACGUGUCCAACGGCCUCUCAGGAUUACAACCUUAUCAGCGCCACUAGCAGCAAUAUGGAUGAUCCCCACCACGCGACAGACGGGUGCGCGCACGUACGAUGUGGAGGAGGAGAAGUAGCCACGUAAACGCAUCCUAGGAAAGGGGGAUGACUACAGAUACAGGCAGCACUCUUCAGUUAUUUGCAGACUGUGCUCUGUUUUAUGUUGGUUGAUCACAUAAAAUCCAGACAGAACAGAGGAAAGAGAAAGGCUGACAGAAAGCUUGGAGAACUACUGAGGCAGAUAACAUUGGAAGAGCACAUCAAUUUUGGAGGUACUUCCAGUUCUUGGUAAUGCCAUUGUUGUUUCAUAUUUUCUCCACUCGAUGAGAGCCGCCAGGAAUGCAGAGAGAAUAAUCAGAGCUGACCUUCCCUCCAUCCAGGACUUAUACAGGUCUAGGGUCAAGAAAAGAGCUGCUAAA